rnacentral:rRNA from 1 species
UACAGAGGGUGCGAGCGUUGUCCGGAAUUAUUGGGCGUAAAGGGCUCGUAGGCGGUUUGUUGCGUCGGGAGUGAAAACUUACAGCUUAACUGUGAGCGUGCUUCCGAUACGGGCAGACUUGAGGUAUUCAGGGGAGAACGGAAUUCCUGGUGUAGCGGUGAAAUGCGCAGAUAUCAGGAGGAACACCGGUGGCGAAGGCGGUACUCUGGGCCGGAACUGACGCUGAGGAGCGAAAGCGUGGGGAGCGAACAGG